rnacentral:rRNA from 1 species
UACGGGGGGUGCGAGCGUUGUCCGGAAUCACUGGGCGUAAAGGGCGCGUAGGUGGCAUGAUAAGGGUGUGGUGAAAGCCCGGGGCUCAACCCCGGGUCUGCCAUGCCGACUGUCACGCUAGAGUACUGUAGGGGCAGGCGGAAUUCCGGGUGUAGCGGUGGAAUGCGUAGAGAUCCGGAGGAAGACCGGUGGCGAAGGCGGCCUGCUGGGCGGUUACUGACACUGAUGCGCGACAGCGUGGGGAGCAAACAGG